UACGAAGGGUGCAAGCGUUAAUCGGAAUUACUGGGCGUAAAGGGUGCGUAGGCGGUUCGUUAAGUCUGUCGUGAAAUCCCCGGGCUCAACCUGGGAAUGGCGAUGGAUACUGGCGAGCUAGAGUGUGUCAGAGGAUGGUGGAAUUCCCGGUGUAGCGGUGAAAUGCGUAGAGAUCGGGAGGAACACCAGUGGCGAAGGCGGCCUUCUGGACCAAUACUGACGCUCAGGCACGAAAGCGUGGGGAGCAAACAGG
rnacentral:rRNA from 1 species